CUCCUUGAUUGUAAGUAUCUUUUCAGAAAUUGCAUGACUUUUUUCUGUUCCUUCCACUCACUCCCGAAUAAAAAUUUUUCAUUAUCCAACUGGUGGAUGGGUCAUGACUGCAGUGUCCCUAGCCUCUUUUAAUGUCCACUUGCAUGCUGGCAUCUAGCCCUGAAAGACACUUUUGUGUCCUUGGUCCUUAGCUCUAUUUGUCGAGUACCGUGGCCAUUCGUAUACAGAGGCCUACCAGAGGGCUUGUCUCUGCUUCAGCUGUGGGUAUCUUUGCCUUGUUAAAUGGAUCAUAUGCAUUAGCUGUCCUGCUUUAUAAGUGAGGAAAAUGAAAGACUAAACACAGUAAUGGUAUCAGUGCUUCUAUCUCUCCUUUUAAUAUUCUUCUGUAUAUAACUCAAUAGUCCUGUAUGCAGUGUGCACAGCCAUAAAGUUCCACUUCCUGUCACGUUGUAUACUGGGAGUUUCAAUCUCUGUCUGACUUUGUAAAUAAAGGCUCUGACAGGGAAGUGGCUGAGAGGAGGACAAGGUUCAGAGAUUAAGCUGCUCAGAAUUCCAGUGCGGUUGAGGUAGGUCUUUUUUAAAUGUUUGCAUUCUGGGAUUAGUAGUAGUACAUGGCUGGAGUUUGUUAAAAUGUUAUAUCUAACGGAGUUAGGGUCUUCUGUAUUCUGAUGAAGUUUGUGGAGUAUAUCCAGGCCUUUCACCCAUGCCCACUAAAUACCACCAUUAGUAAAAGUGUAGUUUAAGUAAGAAAAUAUGGCAUUCCCAAAGCUUUGAUUUAUAGUGCCAUUAAAAGUUUUCAUCUUUCUAUGUCUCUUUGUGGAUUGUUAGUGUAGUGUUUUCUUGCUCUUCUGAUAACCUGUUAACAUGAAGACUUAUCAUCUCAUCUUUAUUCCCAGUCUGAUUCUCUAUAUAUUUACACCACCUCCUCCUUGAAGGAUAUAGUACCCAAAGCAUGAAAGAAUGUAUUUGGAGAACAAUUGGAUAUAUGGAGUUAACAAAUCCUUGUUUGCUAAAUUUAUCUGUUGCAGUACUUUCUACAAUUCCUGGAACAUAUGCCUGCUUAACGAUGGUUUGCUAAGCGGAUGAAGGAAUACAUAAAUUAAUUAAUUAAAGGAAGAAGAAGGAAAUGAGUAAAAUUUUUGGAGCCUAGAUUGAAGCUAAGGCUUUCAAUAAUCUCAUUCGGGCCAAUGUAAAUUGGAAGUAGGGUUGAAGAAUUUGCUUUGUGAAUAAUUAAAAUCAAUAUUACAAAUAACCAUUCUCUUUAUUUGGCGCAACAAAAAUUACAAUCUGGUGGUAUGCAUUAACCAGGCAACAGGGCAAAAUCAUGUUGAUGUUCCCAGGUCAGAAGAAAGAGCUGUAAUAAGG
rnacentral:lncRNA from 1 species